rnacentral:misc_RNA from 1 species
GAUGAAGAACGUAUCGAAAUGCGAUACUUGGUGUGAAUUGCAGAAUCCCGUGAACCAUCGAGUCUUUGAACGCAAGUUGCGCCCGAAGCCAUUAGGCCGAGGGCACGCCUGCCUGGGCGUCACACGUCGUUGCCCCCCCAUCUACUCCUUCGGGAUUGCGGGGGGCGGAUGAUGGCCUCCCGUGCGCCUCGUCGCGCGGUUGGCCUAAAUGCCAAGUCCUCGGCGACGCACGCCACGACAAUCGGUGGUUGCGAAACCUCGGUUGCCUGUCGUGUGCGGUCGUCGCGCAUCGAGGGCUCGAAAAAAUUGCCGGGCUUCGGCUCGACUUUCAACGCGACCCCAGGUCAGGCGGGGUUACCCGCUGAAUUUAAGCAUAUCAAUAAGCGGAGGA